UGGCCAAAAGCCCUUGUCGCUGAUUUCCACAGAACCCCAGUUUGGUUCCCAGAAUUCACAUCCAGGCAGUUCACAACUGCCUCUAACUCCAGCCCCAGGGGAUCCGAUGCCCUUUCUAGCCUCCUCAGGCAACCCUGCACACUGUCAUAAACACAUACAUUACACAUAAUUAAACAAAACAAAAACUAUGCAGGUAGAACCAAUGGCUAACAAAGAAUUAAAACACUACAACUGGACAAUUACACUGACAGAAGAGGUAAAGAAAUGGUCAGUACGCUUUGGCAGCCUCAGGGAGCAAGGCAGAGUACAGAAUGAUCGGAUAACUGGUCUUCACAAUGGUUCUCAGAGUCAGCAUGACCACUGGGACCUGACAGUCACUGCUCUCGUGUUUUGUAAGGCACGGGCACCCAAGAAGUCUGGACAAACCUUCCAUCGGAAGUGUUUCCCACCGUCUUGAGUCCCUCAGUGAAUAUGAGUUAGACCAGAAGUUCUCAACUUAUGGGCUGUGACCAUCAGACAUGGGGGUUUCUUAAGAACCCCCAACUCUACAUUUAUUUUUGUUGCUACUUUGUAACUGUAAUUUUGCCACUGAGCAGUGUCUCAGUUCCUAAGAGAACCACUGAGUUAGAUACUAUUUUAUUCUUCUGAAAUGCCUCAUCCCCCUGAUGGUCCCAGACAAAUUGAAUGUUACAGUAUAAUAUAGCUGCUUUGUGGUAUGUGGUGAUACACAGUUCAAAACAUAGCACUCCGAAGAGGCAGGAAAAUCUUGAGUUUGAGGCCAGCCUGGGCUACAUAAAAAGACCCUUCCCAAAGGGUGAGGGAAGAACCCUAAAGUUGUUGCUUCAGAUAGCAAAUGACUUUAGCGUAACAUUUACUCAGAACUAUAUUGUUGCGGUCCAUGAAAUAAAAAUAUCUUUACUUGAUGAUCUUCUAAAAAUCUUAAAUCAUUGGCAGCAAAUGAAACCUUGUGUGAUUUGCUGUAUUCAUAUACACACACAAAGCACCGGUUUAUUUAUUUUUAUCCGUUUUCAGUUUUCCACGAAUCAAGUUUUCAGUGAACACCAAACAAGACAUGUUUUCUCUUGUGAAACGCAGCAUAUUCCCAGUCCCUAAGGCUCUUCAGCUGGUUAAACAUUAAGGGACAAGAGAAGUCCCAUGAGGGAGGCCGCUGUCUGCCGGCCAGCCGGGUACCUCAGCUUCCCACUUCAUCCCUCUAGAAGAGAUCAGCUUUCCAGCCGCCUGAGCUUGGGACAAGGAUGAUUCUGCCUCAUCCCAGCCGGCCUCCUGAGCACCUCGAUAGAGCUGCCUGCUCCAGGAUAGGCAGGAUAAGGCUAGCAGGCUUUGCUGCAUAGGUCAGUAGAGACUCCUCCUUAGCAACGUCAGCCACAGGUGUACACUGUAAGGUCACAACCUCUUGCUGUGCUGAAGGAAACCUGAGGUUCAAGGAGGUCCAAGGAAGUGAAAUGUCUGCCCAAGGUGACACAGCUCCUCCGACAGAAUGCUGGAUCCACGUCCAGGUUGGCCUGGCUCUGGAGUUCAUAACCUUGGUCACCCAAUGAGAGCACACAAGCCUGGGAUUGCAGAAGUAUUUCUCUGCAGAGGGUGGAAAUGAAGUUGAGAGAACACAGACUAAAACAAGCAGCAACAAAAAACAAACCACCAGAAAAUAAAAUUGGACAUGGAGGCAAGUGAAACUCUCAGACCUGGGGUGAUGGUUCCUGGGACUCACUGGCCAUUGAGCACAGUCUUAUUUGGUAAAUACACACUGAGCUGUGUGGUUUUGCCUUAAGUGGCUAGAAGUUACGGGGAUGUGCACAUCAGCACCCGGAGCCACAAACAAAAUCCAUCAACUGCACCAAGCAUUACACCAACGCUCUGACUGGGCACCAGACUCAGUCUGUCUGUGACUCUUCAGGGCAGUGACAUUUCCAGGUGUCCUGUGGCCAUUUUCCUGUUACUUUUCUCCAGGGUACACAGAGGGAGAGCUUGGCCGACCACUUGGUUUGGAAGCUGCUGAUGUGUGGCUGUGCUGCCCAGCACUGCAAGCCCGCUGGGGAGGAGGGCUAAGUAGCGCUGUCAGUGGACUUCGGGGACAGAUGGGCUGGAUUACCAUGGAUUGUGUCCUAAAGGUCACUGGGUGUGUCUAAGAGAUCCUAGCUGCAAAAGUUGGCUACACACCCUGGUGACAGAAGAAGAAAUGACAGCUACCUCCAAGCAGAGCUUCCCUAAACUGGAACCAAAACCACCGUGGAGGGGACUACUCGGUUAUGAGUCUACCAAAGCGCCCCCAAGACAUCAAGAGCCAGAGUAUGGGGCACUAGGGUAUGACUUCCAACUGCAGUGAGAUUUUCCUUCCCUCCGCCUUCCUUCGUCAUUCCCUGAGAAGAAGCCAGCCUGACCACCGCCCAGUUCUCCAGGGCUAGCUUCCAGCUGGAAGGACAAAACAUUCUCCAUCUUCCCAGGUUCAGAGGUUUGGUUGCUCUCUGGGACUGGACAUUCUGACUGCUAAAUUAAGUUAACGUUUACUGUUUACAGAGAUUCCAGAAUUGUCCAUUACAUAUGAGUAAGCAAGCCAUGCCUGGAAGGGAAGGGUCAUAACUAGAAAGUAGAAGAUAAGGAACUUUGAGAAUCUCAAAACUAGUAUUGCCUUCUGUUUACCUUAAGAGUCAGCUUGUGCUCACCAGUAAUGUUUAGACGGUGGUAUUCAUGCAAACACAGCUGGCUGCACAAACAGGAAGGUCUACAUCACAUAAGAGGGGACCACUCAGUUUGCUAUGACAUGAGUCAAGAGAGGCGGCACACCCUCUGUGUGGGGAGGAGUCUUGUUCUCAGUGUUCCUUUAGAGUAAGGGUUCCAUUCUACAAAGAAGGCCACCAAUGAGCUCUGACCACACUUCUCACUGGACCUAGGCAGGAUCCUGGGUGUAACUGGCCAAUAAUACAAAAGACUAUGCCAUAAUAAUAUCAAAGCCGUUCAGGAAAGGACAUGAGGCCCACAGGUGCCAAGGGAUACUGGAAUCCUAUAGGUAGUGCUCUUUCCUUCUUUUCCCGUGGGUGUAACUUUAUCCCUUCCUUGGAGAGAAGAAUGCAAUGCCUCUGAAAUGGUUUCAGGGCAUGAAUUUUGGGCUUUCCAAGUGCCUCAGCUUGUAAUCUCUCUGCACCAACUCUCUACGACAUGUCCUCCAUCUAGGAAAGCAAUAUGGCUGCUGACAAGUUUGUCCCUGGGGUUCACCUAGCUAGGUACGCAAGUGAUAUUCUCAAACCUGACACAACAUUUUAAAAAUUGGGUUAAAACUGAAAUAAACUAAAAGAAAAGUAAUCUAUAUUUGGAAGUAGCUUCAGCAUACAGGGUCCUCGCAUUCUGGAACCAUUACUUCUGGCCACACAUUGGGGGUGCUGCUGGCACAGAGUCUUCCCCCAGCUUCUCAUGGCAUUGCACUAGUAGGAUCCACAAGAUACCGAGGCAUCGUUUACAGAUACAAUGACAACUGGGCCAUGUCAUGUCAAGCUCAAGUUACUGAACAAAUAGGAUGCUUCUUCCCCUAUGGAGUUCACAUUCUAAGAGGCAAGGCAGGUACAGAGAAGAUCUAUGUGGCAAUGUAGCCCUUUAGGCUCCAUAGGAAGCAGAAUCCGAGGAAGGGUUGGUGAGCACCCAGGCUGUCCUUGAGAUCGGUGCUGUGGGAGGUAGGAGGAAGCAGGAUGAGCAGGAUGUUAAGCUGUGGCACAGGCCUAAUGACAGCCUCGGGAAUGCCAAAGGAAGCUCUGGCCCUGCAGAGUCGUCCCAGGUUGUCCAAAGACAGAUUUACAUUCUGUGCGAAUCGACUCGGACAGUUGCUGCAACCCUUAAUGCGUCUCUAGCUAAUGAUGCUCUAUCCACACAACUUCUGCCAAUGAAUGACUGUCUGAGUGGUGGCUUCCAGACCACACAGGGCGCUCUCAGAGGGGAGCAGUGGACAGCCAGGAAGAUCCAUGACUUUCUUGAGAAGCAUCUUUGAGGAAGAGAAGUGGUUUCUAGGCAGCAAAGGAGGUACACGGUGCUGUCUGCUGGAAAUGGGGAGCGGGGUCGUUAAAGGAAUCGAGAGAAUGCAGUUCUCUUGCUACUAGGAAGAUGUGACUUCCUUCUCUCUAUCCUUUCUGUGUUGGGCCAGACACGCUCAGCACAUACCAUAAACACCACAGGAGCACACCUUUUACGUUAAGUUGCUUUGUCCAGGAAGAAAUCAAAUCAUGAUUACCUGGUGAGCAAUUUGACUGGCUUUUCAAAUUAGCAAAUAUUUAGUUAUUAAUAGACUCUGCUGCUUGUGCAGCUAGCCAGCUCACUUCCUUCAUAGGACAGAAAUCUGGCAGCUUCCACAGUGGAAGGGGAGGUUUACACCACAGAGAGCCAGGGCCCAGGCUUGACUCAGCUGUUUAUUUUCCUGACCACCUCUCCGAAUUUUGUGUCUGAUAUCUGUAAACAAAACCAAUCUACUGUCCAGGACUGUUAUACAGUGUACAUGGAAUGAAACCACACUAUGUCUGGUGGGCCCCUCACACCCGUUUGCCCUCUUGAGCAAUUUUCUAGAGUUACAGGAAGGGAAUUCACCCCCUUUAAGGCCAUUGUUAUCUUCUCUCACUCUGUUUUGAGUCAGUCCCCUUACGGUAUAUUUGGGGGACACUUUUGUAUAUUCACAGUCUGCUCAGACAAAGCCAUAAUGGGUAACGAGCAAAGACUGGGAAAAUCAGUGGCCUCAUUCUUUCUCAUCUUGCUAGAUCUGGACUGCAGUUAGGAGUGGUUGCUUAGUGACAGCGUUAAUUCAUCAGUGGGAGCCACAAGCCCAAAGCUCCCCCUUCUCAUUAGGGAGGAAUGCCAUCCUAUCAAUCAGAACUCUGGUUCUUAGCAUUACUUGGAUGCCUUACCCAAAGCGGGGAGGGGAGCCCUUCUGGGGUAAACUGGGGACAUGCCUCUGCUGGGAACUAUCUCUAGGAGGGAAGGGGAACAAUGGGAUGUGAGGUUGGAGGUGAGGGAUGGAAGCUGCUUGGCAGGGGAGGGGAGGGGUCCUGCCCACUCUUCUCAUUAAGCCGAUUAUUCCCGAUUAUUCCGGAACAGAAGCAGGAUGACCAAAAAAGAGCUGCACAAGUGGGCUUCUGUUUCAUGCUUGGCAGGCGGAGCUCGUGAUCCUUUGACUGUUUUAAGUAGCAGCCAUUAUCCUACCGCAGCAACGGGAACUAGGCCGCUAAGCUCCAAGAGCGGCACCGGGUACGAAAGAUGAGCCUCGGCAUCUCCGAUUAUGAUGGUGCCACACUGCGCCGUAGGAGUUUCUUGAAACGCUUCCAUUGCCUUGUGGUCCACUCUCCUCUCCGGAGAGGACAUUUGGACGUCUCAUUUAAUCCUUCAGCAGCCCACUGCCUGGAUCCCGACGGCUUCUGCAGGUUAAAUUAGGUUACCUCGAGGCCUUCACAGUCCGGUUUUCCAUAAAGAGACUGGAAGAAAUGAGCCGUGACGUGUUAAGAAAAUACCAUUUCCUCAGUCGGCGAGCGGUUUCAAAUACUUUCAAGGUGGAACAAAGCAGCCAGUCAGUUCCACCUGCUUGGCUUAAGACUGACUCACAAAGCAGGUUUUCCAUGAGAGAAUUCUUUUUAAAAAGAGAAAAUGGACGAAACCAACUCCCAAUGAAUUCUAUACAGGGGAAAAAAAAAAAAAAAACAACCAUAAAGCAUUCAACUGUAAGAGGAAGACAGAGCAAAAGCCCCCGAGAGAUUGUCGGGGUUAAUGGCUCUGACCCUGGACUUUUCUGCUCUCAGAAAGUGUGAGUACAGGCGCCUUCAGCACCUCCCACACAGGGGCAGAACUUCCAUCUGCCCAUGAACGCCGCCAGGUGUGUCUGUGCGCCGUGUAGUGCCUUGAAGUCCAGUAGAGGAUAUCAGACCCCGUGGAGCUGAAGUUACAGAUGGUUGUGAGCUGUCAUGUGGAUGCUGGGAACUGAACCCAUGUCCUCUGGAAGAGCGGCGAAUGCUCUUAACCAUUGUAACCAGCUCUUAGAUCAUCGGAGGUCAGCAGGGCACUCCAGGUCACUUCCUGUGGUUGGAGGCCUGGAGAACAGAUCUUGCGUACCAGAUACGACUCAGGGUGGUCCUUCUGGCAGAAGCAUUUGAAGAGGUGAUGUUUAAUGUAUGCAAAGCCUUGUUUUCUGGCUAAGCAAGACAGCCUUGGCCAUCUGAUUUGAUGGGCAAGUAUAUUCGAUGCUAUUUCCCUUGCAUAAAAUUGUUUCAUGUUUCAAAGAAAUAAACACAGACAAACUGCGAAGUGUUUGCAGUAUUCAGUG